UCAGAUGGCCCACCUGCUCCUUUGCUUGCUCUGAUAUAAAAAUAAAAAAAAGAUGAAAGUAUCCCAGCAGCGACUGCUCUGAAGAAAUAGUUUGAACUGAACACUGGACCUCGGCAGCACUUCAGAUGCUGUGCUGUAACUGAUGCGGUUUGGAGUUGGUGGCUGCAGUUCCAGAUUGUGAAAUAAGAAGAAAAAAUAAACAUGGGAGUUGAGUUGAUCUCUAUAUAUAUGAAAUGUCACAAUGUUAGUUACCAUACUUCUUCGGAAAGGCUGGACCGGUUCUCAUGGAAUUUUGUAUGGCCGGUAGAUCUGAGAAUCGGCCAUCAUUUAUUUUUCAUACGGCUUAGUGAUAAGAGUAAGACAGAACGUUUUCGUUCCAACUAGUAUAAAAAAACGACGUGUGUCAUUCGGGAACUGCCGCGGUUGCGCUAUUGCAUGC